rnacentral:lncRNA from 1 species
CUGAACAUUAAGGAUGUAAAAACCACUGGUAAAAGCUCCUGCCAGUCUCUGGAAGACAAAAGGUCCCCUCCUAAUAGCCUGGAUUAACUCAAAGCAGGUCUCCGCCCACUUCAUUUGUCACCGUCCAAGUCAUCCUUGCACCUCCAUUUGCCACAUAAUCCAAUCAGCCCCUUUCAGAGGCUGGGCAGCUAUUGUCUACACUGAGCUGGGCUUCUCUAAAGCAGCCCAAGUUGUUUUUGUCUUGUCCGGACAAAACUGGUUGGCUUAAAACGGGACGAAAGAAAUUCCUGGUCAAAUGAGGACCCCAAUUAGGUUCCAAGAGACUGUUUUCAUUAUCUUUGUAUCAGAUACCUAGCCUGGUGCACUGGGCAGAUUGUCGGUGCCCCAGAAAAUGUUUGUUGAAUUAAUUCAUUUUUAUUUAUUCUGGAAUUUCUUAAUUGAACACAAACACACACAGCACCUACUGAGUGCUGUUCUCACUAAGGGAGAAUUGGGCUGGACAUGUGAGCAAGGAGGGACAGCCUCGGGUGCUUGAGUAGCUCACACUUUCCACAGCAAUUUACAAAGCACUUUCAUAGUAGUUACAGCAUUUGGUCUUCAAAAGCGCCCUGUGGGGUAGAUACACGAGGGGGUGUGUGUGUGUGUGUGUGUGUGUGUGUGUGUGUGUGUGUUUUAAUCUCCAUUUAGACCAUGAAAGAAACUGAAACUUAGAGUAGUUAAGCGACUUGUUUAAGGUCACACUGUUAUUAAAAGGUGAAGCCAGCACAUGGUACCAGCACUGGGGCCACCCAGACCCCCAAGACCACCCCAGGCAGCUGGGAUUUCAAACAGACUGUCCCAUUGUCAAACAUUUGGUUUGAAAUAAAAGGACUCUUAGUAUAACUCUGGGCCAGAGGGGAAGAAGGGGUGAGGGCAGCUAGCGUGGCACCCUGGGUCCAACUCCAACCCCUUCUGUUGCCAGCAAUGUGACCAAAUACUUACACCUCCCAGCAAGUUUCUGUUUCUUUAAUGUAAAUGUAAGCCCUACCCCAUGGGACAGAGAGUUCAGUCCUCACGGGUCCUCUCUCCCUUUCAGCUUCUUUAAAUUACAAAAAUCAACACUACCAAAUGCAUCCUCACCUGGAAAUGAGGCUGCCUCGUUUACAUACACAUAUUACAUAAAAAUCACAUGUUCAUAUCACAUAGAAAGUGCUCUGGAAAUGGCCACAUGCAUAAUUCGUGUUCUUACUCAAGUCAGCCCGUCGAUGGUCUCUGCAAAGCCCCUACCUGAUGCAAGGAGAGCCCGUGGACAAGGGCUGCCUGGAGUGCUGUUGGAGAAUAAAUAAGACAAGUAAGACAAGCAAGAGGGGUGGGAAGGGACUGACCUGUCAAACCUUUUCAACAAACAUUUGCUGAUCACCUCCUCUAUGCCAGAUCCUGCCUGAGGCCUCUUUUAUCUCAUUUAAUUCUCACAACAACCCUAGGAGGUUGCUCUCAUCGACCCCAUUCCCCCAGAAAAGGAUAGGAAGAUCUUCAGAGAGGUCGGGCGUGCCUUUGGUGAUUCAGUAGCAUGCUCAUUCCAGAAGCCCACCCAGGGCCUUGGAGUUGCCAGCAGGAUGCUGGCCAAGCCCUUGGCCCAGGUCCCCCUCCUGAGAAUUUCCCAAAGGGAUCCUUCCAUUCAGGACAUCAUAAGGGUGAUGACAGAGUCAGUCGACAAAGACUGACACCCCCUUGGGGAGGGAAACACUCCAGUUUGCUAGCAGGUGAACACAAGCAAAGACUUAUAGGAAAGUACUCAUAGAGUCAAAGUAUGAGCAUAGCAAAGGUCAGGGCUUAAUGCCCAAUGCCCCCUCACUAGGGCAUUGGUUUAAGUCUUUAGGUAAGAGGGACAGCUGGCUGGUCAGUUCCGGUCCUCUUCAUCCUUUGCCAUCCUGGUCCUGGGGGUCAGUGAGUGGCUGCUUUGUAUGUUGGUGGGAUCCAGGAAACCGUGCUCCUAGUGCCCUCUGCGUGAGGUGUAGAUGGGCAGCAGGCCCCUUGGCAGCAGCUCAGCAUGGAGAGGAGGUGGUCCUUGAAGACAAGGAGGUGGACGGAUGAUGGAUCCUCUCGUGGGCGCCCCAGCUCUCCUGAGGAGCCGCCGCCAAGGCCAGCGAGCCAAGGCGCGCUCCCUCUCUGCUCUCCGCCGUCUGCGC